UCUUGAACUGGAGUUGUGUGAUCCGUGUCAGGAAUGAGAACACCCUGAUCAAGAUUAACAACGGGAGGAAAAGACAUGUUUUUCCUCAAAGACAAAAUCUCUAACUUUAUCUCCCCAUCCCCCAAACUCAAUAUCCUCAAAGAACCAAGCAUUACCCGUUUCAAAAAUAGUUCUAGAAGUGGGAUCAUAGAACUUAUACCCCCUGGAUCUUU
rnacentral:lncRNA from 1 species